AAAGGGGAAAAGGCAUUCACCACCAUCAGAUGAGUAUUAAUCUUCAAAUGAAAAAGAUUUUGUAUUAGCGAUGGUGCGGUUUACAUCUUAUGUCCGGUUGU